rnacentral:misc_RNA from 1 species
GAUGAAGAUCGCAGCGAAAUGCGAUAAGUAAUGUGAAUUGCAGAAUUCAGUGAAUCAUCGAAUCUUUGAACGCACAUUGCGCCCGCCAGUAUUCUGGCGGGCAUGCCUGUUCGAGCGUCAUUACAACCCUCAGGCCCCCGGGCCUGGCGUUGGGGAUCGGCGGAGCCCCCCGUGGGCACACGCCGUCCCCCAAAUGCAGUGGCGGUCCCGCCGCAGCUUCCAUCGCGUAGUAGCUAACACCUCGCGACUGGAGAGCGGCGCGGCCACGCCGUAAAACACCCAACUCUUCUGAAGUUGACCUCGAAUCAGGUAGGAAUACCCGCUGAACUUAAGCAUAUCAAUAAGCGGAGGA